CUGUAUAAUAAUAAUAAUUUAAAAAAUCUAAGACGUCGUUGGCUCUUUUACAAUGGGGGACAAUAGGAAAGAAUGUUUGUGUGGUCAAAGGAAAUUCGUUAUUAUAUGAAUGAUAACUCAGAGCAUAGGAACUUGAAGCCCCCUUGAAGUUUCCGAAGGAAAUAUUUUAAAAGCUCUUUAGUCUCAACAUCUGCCUGAUGUUUUUGCUUCGUGCGUAAUGUGUGUUCAAUCCAUAGACACUUUUAACUCAAAUGUAAUGACAUUUUAUUGGUCAUGUGGACUAUUUCAACAUGGGUAUGCCUUACUGGGAAAUGCUCAUGGGCCCUUUCCUAACCAGGCAGAGUUAAAAGGUAAGAACAAUUAGCUAGAUAAAAAAGGAAAUAAAACAAUAAAAUAACAAUAACAACGAGGUCAUAUACAGGAAGUACCUGUACCCAGUCAAUGUCCAGGGGUACGAGGUAGUUGAGGUAAUAACGAGGUCAUAUACAGGAAGUACCUGUACCCAGUCAAUGUCCAGGGGUACGAGGUAUUUGAGGUGAUAACGAGGCCAUAUACAGGAAGUACAUGUACCCAGUCAAUGUCCAGGGGUACGAGGUAGUUGAGGUGAUAACGAGGCCAUAUACAGGAAGUACAUGUACCCAGUCAAUGUCCAGGGGUACGAGGUAGUUGAGGUAACAACGAGGUCAUAUACAGGAAGUACCUGUACCCAGUCAAUGUCCAGGGGUACGAGGUAGUUGAGGUAACAACGAGGUCAUAUCCAGGAAGUACCUGUACCCAGUCAAUGUCCAGGGGUAC
rnacentral:lncRNA from 1 species